AUUGAACGCUGGCGGCAGGCCUAACACAUGCAAGUCGAACGGUAACAGGAAGAAGCUUGCUUCUUUGCUGACGAGUGGCGGUCGGGUGAGUAAUGUCUGGGAAACUGCCUGAUGGAGGGGGAUAACUACUGGAAACGGUAGCUAAUACCGCAUAACGUCGCAAGACCAAAGAGGGGGACCUUCGGGCCUCUUGCCAUCGGAUGUGCCCAGAUGGGAUUAGCUAGUAGGUGGGGUAACGGCUCACCUAGGCGACGAUCCCUAGCUGGUCUGAGAGGAUGACCAGAAAAACUGGAACUGAGACACGGUACAGACGCCUACGGGAGGCAGCAGUGGGGAAUAUUGCACAAUGGGCGCAAGCCUGAUGCAGCCAUGACGCGUGUAUGAAGAAGGCCUUCGGGUUGUAAAGUACUUUCAGCGGGGAGGAAGGGAGUAAAGUUAAUACCUUUGAUCAGUGACGUUACCCGCAGAAGAAGCACCGGCUAACUCCGUG
rnacentral:rRNA from 1 species